CCUACGGGUGGCAGCAGUGAGGAAUAUUGGUCAAUGGCCGUACGGCUGAACCAGCCAAGUCGCGUGAAGGAAGAAGGAUCUAUGGUUUGUAAACCUCUUUUAUAGGGGAAUAAAGGUAUCCACGUGUGGCUAUUUUCAUGUACCCUAUGAAUAAGCAUCGGCUAACUCCGUGCCAGCAGCCGCGGUAAUACGGAGGGUGCGAGCGUUAUCCGGAUUUUUUGGGUUUAAAGGGUGCCUAGGUUGUUUUGUAAGUUCGCGGUGAAAGUUUGGGGCUCAACCAUAACAUUGCCGUUGAAACUGGAAGACUUGAGUGUGUUAGAGGUAGGCGGAAUGCGUGGUGUAGCGGUGAAAUGCAUAGAUAUCACGCAGAACUCCGAUUGCGAAGGCAGCUUACUAAGCCAUAACUGACACUGAAGCACGAAAGCGUGGGGAUCAAACAGGAUUAGAUACCCCAGUAGUC
rnacentral:rRNA from 1 species